UGCUUAAAAUGUAUUUAUUGUUAUUUCCUUAUAAAGAAUUUGCAUUUGGUGGGUGUGAAAACAUUAACAAAAUUAAUUCACUCACACGCAAAUUUGAGAAUAAGGAAAUGAGAUAGUAUACUUACGAAAAACAGAGAGGUUCAGAGCAACACUGUAACAUCAAAGACUUUUGUAGCUCUUAAUUUCAUAUCUUACUAGGUUUGAAUUAAGCCGUAUUCGAUGUAUAUGUAUAUAGUUUACCUUUUGAUGUUUAAAAUACAAUGUAAAACUAGAAGGAUUUUAUUCAAAUUUGAUCGUACGUUUAUUAAAUAUUAGAAUUUUAAUAAGAAACAUAACUCUUUUAGCACAAUCAAACAGUACUUCAGAUGUCAAAUUCAACUGACAAAAUCCCCAAGUCUUCUUGCACAAAAACUG
rnacentral:lncRNA from 1 species